ensembl:lncRNA
UGUGGACUCUUUGGUUACCAGUCGUCUGCUCUUUCUGUAUUAAGUUAAACAUUCUGAAAGAUGGGCAGGACAACGCAUCUAAUCUUUACUAACCGCCACGAUCUGUGCAGUCAAUAUGUCUUCCAUGAACUUGCUCCACCGGGUGUAACAAUGAGAGAAACAACCAGGGGACGUCCGGCCACAUUAAAUCUGCUCAAACUUGUUGCCCAUAUUGCUGAAGGCAAACCUCCGUGUGUAUGUAUUUGUGUGUGUGUGUGUGGCCCCUGCUUGUGGCUGGUUGGAUUCCAUCGCCCGGUCGGUCUCCGGCUUGUGAGUGCCUGUGAGUCGAGAGUCUUUAGGAUUCUCUGUGGGGUGUGUUAUAAUAAUCCCACGGUUAGGACUCCUCAUACUCUAUAAUCACACCUGAGCACACAUAGUGGUGAGAUCACGAGAGCACUUCAAGCCAAUGGGCUGCCGAUUGUUCAUCCUGUGACCAAAAAA